rnacentral:sRNA from 1 species
AAAGAUCUCCCAGCAGAAGAGGAGAGGAGGUUGUGUGGGACAAGUUGCUCCCGACAGAAGGAUGUCGCUGCUGAGCCUGCCCUGGCUGGGCCUCAGACAGGUGGCAAUAUCCCCAUGGCUACUCCUGCUGCUGGUUGUGGGCUCCUGGCUACUCACCCGCAUCCUGGCUUGGACCUAUGCCUUCUAUAACAACUGCCGCCGGCUCCAGUGUUUCCCACAGCCCCCAAAACGGAACUGGUUUUGGGGUCACCUGGGCCUGAUCACUCCUACAGAGGAGGGCUUGAAGGACUCGACCCAGAUGUCAGCCACCUAUUCCCAGGGCUUUACGAUAUGGCUGGGUCCCAUCAUCCCCUUCAUCGUUUUAUGCCACCCUGACACCAUCCGGUCUAUCACCAAUGCCUCAGCUGCCAUUGCACUCAAGGAUGAUCUCUCCAUCAGGUUCCUGAAGCCCUGGCUGGGUGAGUACCUGCAGGUGAAAGGGGUUGGGGACAACCUUGCAGGGACGGUAGGGGAAGUGCUGCUCUUGCCCACUGUCCUUGGCUGCCCUGCCAGGGGAUGGGCUCCUGCUGAGUGGCGUUGACAAGUGGAGCCGCCACCGUCGGAUGCUGACACCCGCCUUCCAUUUCAACAUCCUGAAGUCCUAUAUAACGAUCUUCAACAAGAGUGCAAACAUCAUGCUUGUGAGUCCCUUGAAGUCUGGGUCCCAGCUGGAGUCUUGGGGUGGAGGGACCAUGGACACAUCUGGUCUGGAAUUUUGGCUCUUCUGGGUGGCACUGGGCCAUUGCUCUUCCUCUCUGAGCCUUGGUUUCCUCAUCUGUAAAAUGGGGAUGAUAAUCCCUACUUGAAAGGUCAUUUACUUGGCACACAGUAGGUUCUCAGAAGGUGUCAGUUUCUGUGUUUUUCUCACAGAAUCCCUGUAAACUCAAGAGAGUAAAAAUGAAGAUUGUGUAGUAGUCAUUGCUGAUUACAAACCACUUCAGAACUCAUUGGCUUAGAGCCAUAAGGGUUUACAAUUGCUAAGGAGUCUGUGAGACAGCUGGCCAGUUCUUCUGGAUGUGGAAGGGAUCACUCUUGGCACAUGAGCAGCUGUGGGUCGGGGGGCAGCUUUGCUGAUCCUGGCUCAGUUCAUUCACGUUUGGGGCUUCAGUACCUUCAGACUGUUCUGGGAUGGGCUCAGCUGUGACACCCGGACUUUCCCCCAUGUGAUUCUCUGCCUCCAGAAGGCACCCUGUUGUUCACAUGGCAGAGACUGGGUUCUGAGAAACUGAGAGGAGGCUGCAAUGUCUGUGGACAUUGUCUCUGC